GGCCUCCUUCACUGGAUCCAGGAAGUGGUUGUUGCCUGGGAGAACUAGACCCAGAGUCCUGGCUUCUUGUAGAAGGAGGAGCAGCUGUGAAUUGGGGUUCCUGACUGAUGGAUGAUCACCAUAGGCUCACAUCGUGUCCACCAUUUUCAAUCCUCACAGAGCUGGGUUGAGAAGAUAAUUCCAGAAGUUGACACAGCUACCUUCUACAGAAGUUUGUAUGUCUGACAUUUGAUUGCAAAUUGCAGCGGUCCAAGGCUUUGAAGCUCAAGUGUUGAAAGUCAGCAAAGCUGGGACAUUUCUCCGUGCACAGCACAAUGCAGACCAGAAAAGAAUGUGGAUCUCCCCAAGACCCAGAGAGAAGAGGAAAUGCCUUUUCACCACAGCCCAGUGCUAGAUCCUCUCAUUUCCUGUGCUGGGACCUGCCUUUACCAGGACAUCUGACAGAGGGGCCGUUCAUCCAGGUCCGAAAGGACUGCUCCACCACCAGGACAGCCCUGCUCCUGGGCCCUGGAGAAUGGGUGUCACCGAGCCCAGGGCACUGGCUUCAUCUCUGUGUGGGCCAUGUUGAGGGGCCAGUCCCUCCACAUCAGGUAGCACUCACGUUUGCCCAGAACAUCUACGCCUGGGUUCCUGGUGGCUGCACAGUCUCUGGGGGUCAUAUGUGGGCCUUUGCUGCUCUCAGGGUGGUUUCCUCAGAAAAAGGCAAAUCUGCCUCUGGGACGGAUUUAAGAAUUACUCUGCCUUAUGGACAUCAGCUGUUUGGAGCCUUGGAGAGCAGCUCAUCCAGAGCCAGAAAGUUUCCAGGCUCAGGAGCCAGCUAGGCCUCCAGGUGGGUCCUGUGCGCACGUCUGUCCCUGCUCACCACACCAGCCCUGUUAAAGCUCUCCAUUCCCUCCAGACCUCCUGCCCUACCACCUGCCCUCCAUUCUUGUCAGCUGCCCUCAUUUGGGGAGAAAAUGUAACCAGAAACCUGGCACCUCAGGCUUCUAUCCACACAACUCUGCACAGAGGCAUGGUGGCUCCCGGCCUCUCCUCCCUUUCUCCUGCCACACGGGGGCUCACUGCCCCACCAAGCCUGGCUCUCCCGUAUUCAGACUGCUGGCUGUGGAAGGCAGGCUCUAGAAAGUCUCUGGUUCCACCUGGUUUGCCCUCGCUUGCUCCUUCAUUUACUUGCUCCCCUGGAAGCUGGUGGUCAUGUGGGUGGUCAUGUAUGGAGAGGUCCACGAAGACAGGAACUGAGGGCAGCCUUGAGCCCACAGCCAGCAAGGAACUGAUUUCCUCAGUCCAACAGCCUGAGAGGAACGGAAUCCUGCCAAGAACCAUGUGAGUCAGCCAGGAAGCGGGCCCUGCCUCAGCUGAGCCUUCAGAUGAGACUGCAGUCCUGGCCGACACCAUGAGCCGGAAGACCCAAGAAAGCCUGCCCCGAUUCCCUACUCAUAAGACCUGUGAAAUAAUAAUGCUUAUUAUGUUAAACAGCUUAAUUUUGGAGUAAUUUACAACAUAGCUAUAGAUAACAAAUACAGUGGCUCUCAGACUUGUCAAUUUCUCAGCCCUGAAAAUGUUGAAAAACUUUGGGGAUCCACAUUCCACAUUAAGUUGCCACCUUUUUAUUUUAUAAAAUAAAGACUUGA